ACCAAAAAUAUGGAAUAAGGGAAUUAUAACCCCAAUACCAAAAUGUUCUACAUCAGAUCCUAGAGACCCCUUAUCUUAUAGGGGCAUAACUCUAGCCCCAUUCACAUACAAGAUGUAUUGUAGUAUUUUAAAUGAAAGAUUAGUCAAAUGGUUAGAUGAAAGGGAAAUAAUUAACGACGAGCAAAACGGUUUUAUGAAAGGCAAAAGUACAAUUGAUCAUAUAAGCACUAUAACAUCAAUAAUAGAAACCAGGAAAAAGUGUAAAUUGUCAACAUAUGUAGCUUUUAUAGACUUUAAGAAAGCAUAUGACUCAAUUAAUAG
rnacentral:lncRNA from 1 species